rnacentral:rRNA from 1 species
UACGAAGGGACCUAGCGUAGUUCGGAAUUACUGGGCGUAAAGCGCACGUAGGCGGAUUGGAAAGUUGGGGGUGAAAUCCCGGGGCUCAACCCCGGAACUGCCUCCAAAACUAUCAGUCUAGAGUUCGAGAGAGGUGAGUGGAAUUCCAAGUGUAGAGGUGAAAUUCGUAGAUAUUUGGAGGAACACCAGUGGCGAAGGCGGCUCACUGGCUCGAUACUGACGCUGAGGUGCGAAAGUGUGGGGAGCAAACAGG